AAACAUAACUAAUUAUUAUUCACAUCAUAAUCUGGAGCAUAGGCGGACCGAAGUUACUGGUUGAAAAAUUAAACUCAAAAUGGAGUGUCCCUCUCAUGAACGCUUCUGAAUUUCUGAUGAGUUAUGUACUGAUGACGACGCAAUAAAUGCUUACCAAAACACCAGCGUAAGGUUGCAGUUGAAGAGUAACGAAUGUACGAUGCUUAAUCUUGCUGCUGCGGAGGCGGCGCGGCUGAUUACGCAGCUGUGGCAGUGGUCGGGUCAAUGGUUCCAUCGAUUUUCAACGAAGCAUGGGUUUGAUGGGAAGUUAAAGGGCGGAUAUUUAACAGAUUAGGUUCUGAACUGACAAAUUUGCGGUAAUUCAAGCAUUCUAUUGUUGUCAAAGAUUACAAGGAUGAUCUAAAUCGGGCAACUGUUUUAAGAAAGCUUGAGGUUGAAGAAUAACGAAUUUAAGAUGGUCAAUCUUGCUGCUAUGGAGGCGGCGCGUCUUAUACCGCGGCGGUUGUGGUGGUGGUCGGGUCAAUGGUUUCAUCUUAUUUCAACGAAGCAUGGUUUUGAUGGGAAGUUGAAGGGUGGGUUUUCAACAAAUUAGGUUCUGAGCAGAAAAAUUUGCGAUAAGUCAAGCAUUCUAUUGUUGUCAAAGAUGACGAGCAACAUCUAAAUCAGCCAACUAUUUUAAGCAGGUUUAUUGUUGUAUUAACUCUACUAGCACAACUUGGACUCUCCAUAGGAGAUGGUGGUGAUGGCCAUAAUCCCUUCAAAUUUCGUGGAAUAUAUGAAUGGAUUAUCCAAGUUUCACUAAUAUUAGGUAUUAUUUUAAUAGUGAUUCUUAUAUAUUUUAUUAGAUGUACAUUUUUGCAAAAAGUACACCACCCACUAUCCAACUCCCUAAUCUUCCCACCAGCCCAAGCCACUGAAAUUUCUAGCCACCCUUCUAAUACUCUUUCAGAAACCUAUGUCUUACGUAGAUUACCGGAAGAGAUUUAUACGUAUUCAACUGAACGUUCUAAUGAUUUUAGUCAUAUACUUCGUAUAUUGUAUGAUAUGCAAUUUUCCUUUUGUUGAUAAGGGAGAAGCUGUGCAUCCAUGUUUUUCACUCUCACUAUACUAGGUCAUGGUUUCCGAAGCACGAUUUUCGUUCUACACUGUGCCGUCAUGAUUAUUUUGACGGUUUUGCCGAUUACUAAUUGGUACAGUGUAAAAAACUAUGUUUAUAUGGUACAUGCAUAAAUGAAUUUUAUUUUAAAUGAAAUAUUUUAAUAAAAAUCAUAGUUUUUGACUCUGAUAAAAAUCAUAGUUUUUGACUCUGAUAAAAAUCAUAGCUUGUGUAAAACUGUCAAUAUUUUGUGAUUUCAAUCCUUGAUGUAUGAAUACCUUGUACGAGUUUACGAAAUUGUUAAGUAUCGUCACACACCAUGGAUGCCACAAAUGAUGUGUUAUGUGUGCAACACUUCGUGACUUCGAUCUCAAAGGCUGCAAAACCUACGUUGCUUUGCUUGUCUGUGUUGGUGUUCCGUUGCUUUUCUGGUUUCAGGCAAACAUUGUCUAUCUUUUGUUAUGCUAUUGGUGUAGCUUUUAUGUCCUUUGUAAAACAUGUAGGCUGCACCUUUGCUUGGGUUGCAGCUCUAUGUUGUAACCUUCGCGUUAAUACAUUUGUUUCGUGUAUAACAAGAAUACUUGUGGUGUUUAUGGUAUCACGGAAGGAGGAAAAACAAGAAUGCAAACGUCAA